UACGAAGGGUGCAAGCGUUACUCGGAAUUACUGGGCGUAAAGCGUGCGUAGGUGGUUGUUUAAGUCUGUCGUGAAAGCCCUGGGCUCAACCUGGGAAUUGCGAUGGAUACUGGGCAACUAGAGUGUGGUAGAGGACAGUGGAAUUUCCGGUGUAGCAGUGAAAUGCGUAGAGAUCGGAAGGAACAUCUGUGGCGAAGGCGACUGUCUGGGCCAACACUGACACUGAGGCGCGAAAGCGUGGGGAGCAAACAGG
rnacentral:rRNA from 1 species